UACAGAGGUCUCAACCGUUGUUCGGAUUCAUUGGGCGUAAAGGUGCGUAGGCGGUCGCGCAAGUCGGAUGGGAAAUCUCAGGGCUCAACCCUGAAACUGCAUUCGAUACUGCGUGGCUAGAGUGCUGGAGAGGAGACUGGAAUUUACGGUGUAGCAGUGAAAUGCGUAGAUAUCAGGAGGAACACCAAUAGCGAAGGCAGCUCGCUGGGACGUUACUGACACUGAGGCGCGAAAGCGUGGGGAGCGAACAGG
rnacentral:rRNA from 1 species